GACGAACGCUGGCGGCGUGCUUAACACAUGCAAGUCGAACGGAAAGGCCCUGCUUUUGUGAGAUGCGCGGGUAGCGAACGAGUGAGUAACACGUGAGUAACCUGCCCUUGACUUUGGGAUAACUUCAGGAAACUGUAGCUAAUACCGGAUAGUAGUUCCUGCUGCAUGGGGGGGGUUGGAAAGUUUCGGCGGUGGGGGAUGGACUCGCGGCUUAUCAGUUUGUGGGUGGGGUAGUGGCUUACCAAGGGUUUGACGGGUGGCCGGCCUAAGUGGGGGACCGGCCCAAUUGGGCCUGGGAUACGGCCCAGACUCCUCCGGGAGGCAGCAGUGGGGAAUAUUGCACAAUGGGCGGAAGCCUGAUGCAGCACCGCCGCGUGCGGGAUGACGGCCUUCGGUUUGUAAACCGCUUUCGCCUGUGACGAAGCGUGAGUGACGGUAAUUGGUAAAGAAGCACCGGCUAACUACGUG
rnacentral:rRNA from 1 species